GGAGAGCAAUCGGCCAUGAGCAUCGGCACAUGAACUCUUCACUCACACGAGUAUUUGGGGUUAUUGUAUGUGUCUGUCUGUCUGUCUGUCUUUCUCUCUGUAUGGUUUUAUUGUUUAUUUGCUUUGGUCUUUUGCUGUGUUAAUUUGUUUGUUUUUGAGUCAGGUUUGACCUGUGAAGCCAUGGCUGGCUUAGAACUCGUCAUGUAGACCAGGCUGGCUUUAACUCAAGGAUCCAUCUGCUUCUGCCUCCUGAAAGCCAUAUUGCCUGACAUUAUUUGAUCCAAGAUUUUUUUUCCAUAAAGAAUUUCACAGGGAUAGUAUUUUGAUGCUAACAUUAAAACAGACUAUAGUAUUCUUUUGUACAACAAAUGUCUGCGAGCACUCACUAUGCCCGGGCACUUUCUAGGUACUGGCAAUAUGACAGACGGUAUACAAGGAAACAACUUCUUCUUCUGAUGAUCUUUAUGAUCCAAUCAAGGGAGACGAAUCAAGUAGAACAAACAAAUGAGAGAGUUAAGUGACCUCAGCUGUCAGCAGCAGCAAAGCCGCCGGCUUACUGCCUGCGUGCCAUAAAGAAAGAGCACAAAGUCUGGUGAUGGCUCGGCAGGUAAAGGCACUAGCCACAUCUUUCUUAAAUAGAUCUGUACCUUUCCCCUACAUUAUGAUGAUGAAGGUUGAAUCCACGGCCUUGUGCAUACAGGUAAGAGCUUUGACGCUGUACCCCCAGCCCCUUGACCCCGUAAUCUUUUUUGACCCCGUAAUCUUUUACGUAGGUGCUCGGCUAAAUGGAUGGAUGACUACAGAAGGGAACUUACGUAGAAUGAGUUUGCGUUUCUUUUGCUCUGAGUGAAGGAAGCUACUGAGGUAGAAGACGACAGGCAGGAAGAGAAUGAACACAGACACAGCAACCACGGACACCGUGUCGCUGCAGGUGACCGAACAGUUGAAGGUUCGACUCCAAAGCUUCCGAGUAAUGUUCAUCUAGAGAAACAAAUAUCAUAUUAUAGUCUCUUUACUUAAAGUUUAAUUAAAGUUCUCUUUAAUGUCUU
rnacentral:lncRNA from 1 species